ACGCUGGCGGCACGCCUAACACAUGCAAGUCGAACGAAGUAGCAAUACUUAGUGGCAGACGGGUGAGUAACAUGUAGGUAUCUGCCCUUUGGCCUGGAAUAACACGAGGAAACUUGUGCUAAUACCGGAUAAGUCUUUACGGAGAAAGCUUUAUGCACCAUUGGAUGAGCCUGCACUUGAUUAGUUUGUUGGUGGGGUAAUGGCCUACCAAGACUGUGAUCAAUAGCUGAUUUGAGAGGAUGAUCAGCCACAUUGGGACUGAGACACGGCCCAAACUCCUACGGGAGGCAGCAGUGGGGAAUCUUGCACAAUGGAGGAAACUCUGAUGCAGCGAUGCCGCGUGAGUGAAGAAGGCCCUUGGGUUGUAAAGCUCUUUCGUCGGGGAAGAAAAUGACUGUACCCGAAUAAGAAGGUCCGGCUAACUUCGUGCCAGCAGCCGCGGUAAUACGAAGGGACCUAGCGUAGUUCGGAAUUACUGGGCUUAAAGAGUUCGUAGGUGGUUGAAAAAGUUAGUGGUGAAAUCCCAGAGCUUAACUCUGGAACUGCCAUUAAAACUUUUCAGCUAGAGUAUGAUAGAGGAAAGCAGAAUUUCUAGUGUAGAGGUGAAAUUCGUAGAUAUUAGAAAGAAUACCAAUUGCGAAGGCAGCUUUCUGGAUCAUUACUGACACUGAGGAACGAAAGCAUGGGUAGCGAAGAGGAUUAGAUACCCUCGUAGUCCAUGCCGUAAACGAUAUGUGUUAGACGUUGGAAAUUUAUUUUCAGUGUCGCAGGGAAACCGAUAAACACACCGCCUGGGGAGUACGACCGCAAGGUUAAAACUCAAAUGAAUUGACGGGGACCCGCACAAGUAGUGGAGCAUGUGGUUUAAUUCGAAGAUACGCGCAGAACCUUACCAACACUUGACAUGUUCGUCGCGACUCUAAGAGAUUAGAGUUUUCGGUUCGGCCGGACGGAACACAGGUGCUGCAUGGCUGUCGUCAGCUCGUGUCGUGAGAUGUUGGGUUAAGUCCCGCAACGAGCGCAACCCUCACUUUUAGUUGCCAUCAUUUAGUUGGGCACUCUGAAAGAACUGCCAGUGAUAAGCUGGAGGAAGGUGGGGAUGACGUCAAGUCCUCAUGGCCCUUACGUGUUGGGCUACACACGUUCUACAAUGGUAUCUACAACAGGAAGCAAGACUGCGAAGUUAAGCAAAUCCCUAAAAGAUACCUCAGUUCGGAUUGCACUCUGCAACUCGAGUGCAUGAAGCUGGAAUUACUAGUAAUCGUGGAUCAGCGUGCCACGGUGAAUGCGUUCCCGGGUCUUGUACACACCGCCCGUCACACCAUGGGAGUUGGUUCUACCUUAAGGCAAGGUUUUAAACCCUUGACCACAGUAUAGUCAGCGACUGGGGUGAAGUCGUAACAAGGUAGCCGUAGGGGAACCUGCGGCUGGAUUACCUCCUUUCU
rnacentral:rRNA from 1 species